UUUAUAUUAACUACUAAAUAAUGUAAUAUUUCCUGACCUUGAUAUCAUAUUUACUCACAUACCAUAUCACAUGCAGCUUUUUUCCCAAAUCAGCUCCCCCCUCCCCCACCCCAAAAAAAUUGCAUAUCUUAUUUUGAUGAUUUUACUUUUCUGAAAUAGAAGCAGGGUGGCACUGAAGCAAGCGUGAUUCAUGGCAGCUAAGAUGGCUCCUGCUUCUCUGUGGCCCGAAAAGCAGAAGGGGUAAAGUCCAGUGUUAACAGCCUGAGUGAGCACUGUGAACUGGUUCAGGGCCUGUGAGCUCCUGUAUACAGUCUGCAGUAUCUCUAUGAGGCUUGUGGUGUAGAAACAACACUUCAUUAUUUACGGAACUUACAUAAAGAACUAUUUACACUAAAUAAAUAAUAGUCUUGUUACUGUCUUUGCAAGGGCCUGUUGCCUACCUGUCAUUGUCUUGCCACACCUGGAAUUUCCUGCUGCCUCACUCAGACUGCCUCUUGGAAUGCCACAUUUUUGGACACUUUUUUCAGGAGGAUUUACUUUGUAUCACACAGUUGACUAUGACUCUGGAAAAAUCUUUUUUUUCUAUAGUCUGCCUUCCAAAAUCAAGGUGCACGUUUUAUUUGUGGGAGUGUGGUAUGAAAGAAAAUACAGUAUCUAGCUGGUAUGAAACUGUAGCCAUGUACUUAAGUCUUUGCUGAUAGGACUAUUUUUUAAUUCUCUGAAUUAUUAAUUUAGUCCAUCAUAAAAAGCUAAGAUACUAAGAGGAAGAUUCUGCUUCCAUUACAUCCCAUGACAGCCAAAAGCUGCUGCCAAUGUAGCAUCAGCUGUGACAGGUUUAAAGCUUAAACUGUAAGGAGAGAGUGAGUGAUGCUGAAAAGACUCUGUUCCUGCUCCAUGAGGCUUGCACUUAGUCUUGACUCUAGAAAAAUCUUUUUCUUCAUUCUGCCUUUCCAAAACAAGAUGUUCUGUCUGUAUGUUGGGUAUUUUCCCCUUUGGAGCAGCAGCAAGACUAGUUCAGCUGAAGAGAAAAGCUCUCGGCGAGGCGACUCAGAAAGUGACCCCGCAGGAGAUCCAGGAGUCCCGGGGCUGUGGCAGCGGGCUCCGAACGUUGAGACACUGGCCAUUGUGACGUCUGCACCCGGCUCUUUUGUUCUUCCGUAACGAGCUGCGCGCCUCCUCCCUAAACCUGCAUGGACCUUUCUGAUCGCUUCCCCUGCUGCUUAAGAAAAGUGUGGUGGGGGGGACCCCACAACCCCAAGUGCUGGAUUCACUACACACGCUUUACACAAGCUGGCCACAGAGAGGACACACAUUUGGGGGAAGAGGGGAGAUGACUGGGGAUGGUCCCUUCCCGUCCUUGAAGUCUGUAGUGUUCUUCUACUGCCCAACUAUCAACACACGUCUUGUGCUAAAAGGCUAGGGUCUCAAUCCCUCUCCCUUCCACAGAGUGGUAAGAUAACUGGGCGACGGAGGUGUAUUUUUUAAGACAUCACGAGCAAGACUGUGCAGUCAGUCGCUGAUCUUUUCUUCUUCUUUGGUUCCCCUGCACUUGCUUUGUCUCUCAUGGAGAGCUUGAAACUUUCUGAACUGCGCUCGGCAUUAGUUACCUUUUUCUAGUGGCAUCCUGUUCUUGAAAGCGAUCUCGUUAGUUUAGAAAUAUACUUUUAGCUUUGCAAUGGGGACCCCCCUGGUGAUGGGUCCCGCUUCCCCGCCCCCUCUUUGCUACAUAUUAGUGCGAUUUCUAUCAUUUCAGAUGGCCAAGCAAAUGCCAGGCUACAACUUAUGCUCAAAUGGGUCUCGUCGUACUAAGAAUUGAAUCGAGAGUCCGGGGCAGCCGCCACACAGCAAGGAUGAAAGGAAUGGAAACAAUCUGAACUAUUUUCAAAGUCAUUUAGAGACCUCUGUUUGUAUUUUUAAUGCAAUAUAGGGAAUGAGGGAAAACCACUUUGAACAGGUUUGAAUGGGCGGGAUAAUAGCUUAAUUAAAUCACCGUUGGACCGUAGAAAAUAAAUGCCUCCUGUCCUUGUCUUUUAAAGAAGGAAAGGGGGAUUGCUACCCUCCUUGGCGAGCACAUAUAUCCAAAUGUAAGGGUUACAUUUAAACUCCUCUCUCGUCCACACACUAAUAAUAACCAGAAAGGAUGAUGGGGGGUAUUAUUUAUUACUGUGGUUGAUUUACUAAGGACAGCGAAUAUAAUCCCACGUGGGAUACAAGGGUGAGUGUGGGACAGACCCAAA